rnacentral:rRNA from 1 species
GGUGACCGGUGGAGUUGACUGGUACUAAUAGGCCGAGGGCUUGUCCUCAGAUG